CUCACAUGUUUGUGUAACCCCUUGGCAUCAGAGAAGCCAUCAGACUAACUGUGAGCACCUGGCCCCGCCCUUAUUGUGAGAGGCCUGGUGUGUAUAUAAGUUCUUGGUCAGCUGGUGCACUUCCUACUUGCUGCUUGCUACUUCCUGCUUCCUGUUUCCUGCUUCCUGUUGGCUGCUUCUUGCUCUCAGCUGUUGCUGCUGCUGUGGCCACACCAGGACGCCUAAAACAUAUUACGAAUAAUACGAACAAAUACGAACAUAUUUGGACACCUCAGCAUUUACCUUUGGACACUAACUAACCCCAAAGAGACCUGCUCAUUGGUCAGGUUUUUGUUAUGUAUUCUUUGAUCUACAACUUGAUGGCGAGCUACCCAAAUCUGAGAUCCUGAUACUUCCACCCUCAAUAACAACUCCUCACCUGCAGCAAACCUCAACUACAUCCCAACCAAUAGACUUUUGGAAACCUCUCAAUAGGACUCAGACCCAUAUCCCGGUUCCUUUUGUUGUUGUUCUUUUGUAUUGUUUAAAUGUCUAUUUUCUGUUAAUACAAUCGAUUGCCUUUUACUUUCA